GUUUACAGAUGACCACACUGGGAGGCUAGAUGACCUCACUGGGAAGCUAAAGGACCUCACUGGGAAGCUAGUGAACCUCAAGAAGGAGUUGGAUGACCACACUGGGAAGCUAG